rnacentral:tRNA from 2 species
AGUAAAAUGGCUGAGUUUGUAAGCGAUAAAUUGUAAAUUUAUUUACGAAAGUUAAUUUCUUUUACUA